GACGAACGCUGGCGGCGUGCUUAACACAUGCAAGUCGAGCGAUGAGACACCUUCGGGUGCGGAUUAGUGGCGAACGGGUGAGGAACACGUGAGGAAUCUGCCUUCCACUCUGGGAUACCUCCGGGAAACCGGGGCUAAUACCGGACACUUUCAACUGGCGGCAUCGCCGGUUGAAGAAAGUUUUUCGGUGGAAGAUGACCUCGCGGCCUAUCAGCUUGUUGGUGAGGUAAAGGAUCACCAAGGCGACGACGGGUAGCCGGCCUGACGAGGGCGACCGGCCACACUGGGACUGAGACACGGCCCAGACUCCUACGGGAGGCAGCAGUGGGGAAUAUUGGGCAAUGGAGGAAACUCUGACCCAGCGACGCCGCGUGAGGGAUGAAGGCCUUCGGGUUGUAAACCUCUUUCAGCAGGGAAUAAGCGAAAGUGAAGGUACCUGCAGAAGAAGCACCGGCUAACUAUGUGCCAGCAGCCGCAGUAA
rnacentral:rRNA from 1 species